rnacentral:RNase_P_RNA from 1 species
GAGUUGGCUGGGCGGCCGCGCGACUUUAAGUCUCGAGGAACGUCCGGGCUCCACAGGGCAGGGAUGGUGGCUAACAGCCACCCGGGGUGACCCGCGGGAAAGUGCCACAGAAAAGAAACCGCUGCGUCAGCAGUAAGGGUGAAAAGGUGAGGUAAGAGCUCACCAGCGUUGCGGGUGACCGCAUCGGCUUGGUAAACCCCAUCCGGAGCAAGACCGAGCAGCAGACGUAAAAAGAAUUGCCCGUUCGAUGUCUGCGGGUAGGUUGCUUGAGGCCAUCGGCAACGGUGGUCCUAGAUAGAUGGUCGCCACUACGAAAGUAGGACAAAACCCGGCGUACAGGCUGACUCGA